rnacentral:rRNA from 1 species
GGCAAGCGUUGUCCGGAAUUACUGGGCGUAAAGGGCCCGCAGGCGGUGGAGUAAGUUGGGGGUGACAGUUCCCAGCUUAACCGGGAAAGGACUUCGAAAACUGCUCGACUUGAGGACUGGAGAGGAAGGCGGAAUUCCGGGUGGAGCGGUGAAAUGCGUAGAGAUCCGGAGGAACACCGACGGCGAAGGCAGCCUUCUGGAAAGUACCUGACGCUGAGGGGCGAAAGCUAGGGGAGCGAACGGG